GUUGUCCUCAAAACGCAUGUCAUAAGGAAUGUUUGUCGUAAAGACAUCUAAUGUCUUAAAUUCCGAAGGAAUAAAAUGUACGCGAAACAUUCUUUUGCAUUACCAUCACCGUGGUAAUACAUAUAGAUGCAAAAUUUAAUAAUUCACAUAUUUGUGUAAUAGGAAAAGAUGAGGUCUUCCCAGGACAACUUUACCGAUGUACACCGCUACGGGCGUGUUGAAGGCCGUCGACAUUCGUCUUGAGGACUGUUGUGGCUUGAGUGUGGCCAUGCCCGAGGGAGAAACUACAUCGUAGAGAGAUUCGUCUCGUCGGCUGCCGCUCACUAUGAUGUCCAAGAUUCUGUUAUUGUGGAAGAACGCUUAUGCACUUCAUGUUUUCUUGUAAUGCAAAAGGAAUUUGCUCUAGAUUCCUAGGCAGCGAUUGAUUAUCCUUCUCACAACGCUCACAAGCAAUUUCACAUGCAAAAAAAAUCAGUUAUUAGAUCCAUGACUGAUCACAAGAAGACAAAACCAAAUAAAUGUUCUGCUGAUAGAGUUUUCUUCUGAGCGUAUGCAUCCAUGCCGAUGCUUGCUUGUCUUCGCUGUUGAUGUUUUAAAGUGUCGCCGUAAUUAGUACCAGAACCCAUGCGUUGACGAAUCAACCGAUUAGAAUCGAGCAGCCCGUCAUUACGCGCAUGCCGAAUGGUGUUGUUGUCGUGCCAGGUGUAUAGCCGUCGUUGUUGCCGAUGCCGAUCAAAAGGGUACGCGCAUUACGCGCCGAGGCUGGGACAGACGAGGCCAUGCUGAUGCUUCGCACACGCCGCAUGCAGGGAUGCGCCGCGCCGCGCCGCUCCGCUGAAGCGAUGCCGAGAACCGCGGUCGUGGCCUAAAUCUUGCCUCAUAGAGCGCCUCUAUAUUCGUCCAUGCACAUGAAAAAUGCAAUCAAUCACUAGGUUAUAUUAUUAGUCCCUCGUUGCAUCACGGACUCACGGUAAGAACGGAAAAAGAAAUUAAAUUAGUCUUCCUGGUAUAUUUUCCCUUUACAAAAGAAUGCAUCGCUUCUCAAGCAAACACAUGCUCGGUGACCCGUCCAUAACCAUCUCUUAUCUUCUCAUUCAUUUGCACAUCUUCUCCCGACUCUGAACAUGCGUAAAGGCCGCCGCGUCGUUCGGCAUUGCUUACACAAGAGCCAGUUUUCAUGGAUGGCCUUUCUCUCUCAACAAAGAGCCAAGUGCUGAUAACGUGUUUGAAAUAGAAAGUAAAGAACGAAAGAUGAAUGAAAGUGAAUAGACG
rnacentral:lncRNA from 1 species